rnacentral:rRNA from 2 species
UCGCCUGUUUAUCAAAAACAUGGUUUCUUGAAUUUAUUUAAGAGAUUUAACCUGCCCACUGAAUUUAUUUUUGAAGGGCCGCAGUAUUUUGACUGUGCAAAGGUAGCAUAAUCAUUAGUCUUUUAAUUGAAGGCUGGUAUGAAUGGUUGGAUGAGGUGAAUUCUGUUUUAUAUUAAUUAUAAUUGAAUUUAGAUUUUAAGUAAAAAGACUUAAAUUAUAUUAAGGGACGAGAAGACCCUAUAGAGUUUAAUAAAUUUAAUAAUUAGUUAAGUUAAUAAAAAAUUUUUGAUUAUUAUGAAGUUUAUUUAGUUGGGGUGAUUAGAAAAUAUAAUAAACUUUUCUUUAAAUUUAAUACUAUAAUUAGUUAUUUGAUCCAUAAUUAAUGAUUAAAAGAUUAAAUUACCUUAGGGAUAACAGCAUAAUUUCUUUUGAGAGUUCAUAUCGAAAGAGAAGAUUGUGACCUCGAUGUUGGAUUAAGAUUUGUCUUGGGUGUAGAUGUUUAAUGACUAGGUCUGUUCGACCUUUAAAAUCUUACAUGAUCUGAGUUCAAACCGGAGA